rnacentral:rRNA from 1 species
AGCUUGCUGCUCGAAGAUCUUAGUGGCGGACGGGUGAGUAACGCGUGGGCAAUCUGCCCGUAAGAGGGGGAUAACACCUAGAAAUGGGUGCUAAUACCGCAUAACAUCAUAGGGUUGCAUGACCUUGUGAUCAAAGGAGAAAUCCGCUUAUGGAUGAGCCCGCGUCUGAUUAGCUAGUUGGUGGGGUAACGGCCUACCAAGGCGACGAUCAGUAGCCGGCCUGAGAGGGUGAUCGGCCACACUGGAACUGAGACACGGUCCAGACUCCUACGGGAGGCAGCAGUGGGGAAUCUUCCGCAAUGGGCGAAAGCCUGACGGAGCAACGCCGCGUGAGUGAUGAAGGCCUUCGGGUUGUAAAACUCUGUCUUCAGGGAAGAAAAAAAUGACGGUACCUGAGGAGGAAGCCACAGCUAACUACGUGCCAGCAGCCGCGGUAAUACGUAGGUGGCAAGCGUUGUCCGGAAUUACUGGGCGUAAAGAGCGCGUAGGCGGGGAUUUAAGUCAGGAGUGAAAACUACCGGCUCAACCGGUAGCCUGCUCUUGAAACUGAAUCUCUUGAGGGUAUGAGAGGAAAGCGGAAUUCCCAGUGUAGCGGUGAAAUGCGUAGAUAUUGGGAGGAACACCAGUGGCGAAGGCGGCUUUCUGGCAUACAACUGACGCUGAGGCGCGAAAGCGUGGGGAGUAAACGGGAUUAGAUACCCCGGUAGUCCACGCCGUAAACGAUGGGCACUAGGUGUAGGAGGUAUCGACCCCUUCUGUGCCGUAGUUAACACAAUAAGUGCCCCGCCUGGGGAGUACGGCCGCAAGGUUGAAACUCAAAGGAAUUGACGGGGGCCCGCACAAGCGGUGGAGUAUGUGGUUUAAUUCGACGCAACGCGAAGAACCUUACCAAGGGCUUGA